rnacentral:rRNA from 2 species
UGGGGAAUAUUGGGCAAUGGGCGAAAGCCUGACCCAGCGACGCCGCGUGAAGGAAGACGGCCUUCGGGUUGUAAACUUCAGUUAUACGGGACGAAGAAAUGACGGUACCGUAAGAGAAAGCCACGGCUAACUACGUGCCAGCAGCCGCGGUAAUACGUAGGUGGCGAGCGUUAUCCGGAUUUACUGGGUGUAAAGGGUGAGUAGGCGGGGAAGCAAGUCAGAAGUGAAAUUCAUGGGCUCAACUCAUGAACUGCUUUUGAAACUGUUUCUCUUGAGUGUCGGAGAGGUAAACGGAAUUCCCGGUGUAGCGGUGAAAUGCGUAGAGAUUGGGAAGAACACCAGUGGCGAAGGCGACUUACUGGGCCGUAACUGACGUUGAUGCGCGAAAGCGUGGGGAGCGAACAGG